rnacentral:rRNA from 1 species
AGCAGCCGCGGUAAUUCCAGCUCCAAUAGCGUAUAUUAAAGUUGUUGCAGUUAAAAAGCCGUAGUUGAACUUCAGACCUGGCUGGGCGGUCCGCCUAACGGCGUGUACUGUCUGGCUGGCCUUACCUCUUGGUGAGCCGGCGUGCCCUUUAUUGGUGUGCGUAGGGGAACCAGGACUUUACCUUGAGAAAAUUAGAGUGUUUAAAGCAAGCUAACGCUUGAAUACAUUA